rnacentral:tRNA from 2 species
GGGCCUUUAGCUCAGUUGGUUAGAGCAACCGGCUCAUAACCGGUUUGUCCGGGGUUCGAGUCCCUGAAGGCCCACCA